UACGUAGGGGGCUAGCGUUGUCCGGAUUUAUUGGGCGUAAAGAGCGUGUAGGCGGCCAGGUAGGUCUGCUGUGAAAACUCGAGGCUCAACCUCGAGACGUCGGCGGAAACCAUCUGGCUAGAGUCCGGAAGAGGAGAGUGGAAUUCCUGGUGUAGCGGUGGAAUGCGCAGAUAUCAGGAGGAACACCGAUGGCGAAGGCAGGUCUCUGGGCCACUACUGACGCUGAGAAGCGAAAGCAUGGGGAGCGAACAGG
rnacentral:rRNA from 1 species